rnacentral:lncRNA from 1 species
GUUCACUCCAUCAUGUUGCACAGUACUAAGAGACUCAUUCAGAAAUCAAGACUUUAGAUGUAAUAUGUUGAUUAAAAUGUAGCACUAGAAAGCUAGUGUCUUGUAAUGAAAAUAAAGUCUGUGAGUGUGGGUGGAAAAGCAAGUUACUAAGGAAAAUGAGGACUGGCCAUAGUUCCUGUGACCAUGUGUGCUGGCACUGGCAAGCCUGACAAGCAUGUACUGCUGAAUAGACGCCUUCCAGGAAACGCACCACUUACACAGCUUAGCCAAGGAGGGAAAUCUAGAGUUACUUUUAUUAUUUUGUGCAUUAAUAUAUUUUUACAGUCCUUCAAACUUUCAUGAGCCGUGAGUCACUCAUUCCUUAUGCGGUCACUUCCUGGUAGUGUCCUAAUGCUCUGUGUGGAGUUAACUUCAUG